CACGCCGCGUGAGUGAUGAAGGCUUUCGGGUCGUAAAACUCUGUUGUUAGGGAAGAACAAGUACAAGAGUAACUGCUUGUACCUUGACGGUACCUAACCAGAAAGCCACGGCUAACUACGUGCCAGCAGCCGCGGUAAUACGUAGGUGGCAAGCGUUAUCCGGAAUUAUUGGGCGUAAAGCGCGCGCAGGCGGUUUCUUAAGUCUGAUGUGAAAGCCCACGGCUCAACCGUGGAGGGUCAUUGGAAACUGGGGAACUUGAGUGCAGAAGAGAAAAGCGGAAUUCCACGUGUAGCGGUGAAAUGCGUAGAGAUGUGGAGGAACACCAGUGGCGAAGGCGGCUUUUUGGUCUGUAACUGACGCUGAGGCGCGAAAGCGUGGGGAGCAAACAGGAUUAGAUACCCUGGUAGUCCACGCCGUAAACGAUGAGUGCUAAGUGUUAGAGGGUUUCCGCCCUUUAGUGCUGCAGCUAACGCAUUAAGCACUCC
rnacentral:rRNA from 2 species